ACGAACGCUGGCGGCCUGCCUAACACAUGCAAGUCGAACGAGACCUUCGGGUCUAGUGGCGCACGGGUGCGUAACGCGUGGGAACCUGCCCUUAGGUUCGGAAUAACUCCCCGAAAGGGGUGCUAAUACCGGAUAAUGUCUUCGGACCAAAGAUUUAUCGCCUUUGGAUGGGCCCGCGUUGGAUUAGCUAGUUGGUAGGGUAAAAGCCUACCAAGGCGACGAUCCAUAGCUGGUCUGAGAGGAUGAUCAGCCACACUGGGACUGAGACACGGCCCAGACUACUACGGGAGGCAGCAGUGGGGAAUAUUGGAAAAUGGGCGAAAGCCUGAUCCAGCAAUGCCGCGUGAGUGAUGAAGGCCUUAGGGUUGUAAAGCUCUUUUACCCGGGAUGAUAAUGACAGUACCGGGAGAAUAAGCUCCGGCUAACUCCGUG
rnacentral:rRNA from 1 species